UCCUUCAUCUUUUCCUUUUAUUCCUCCUGCUGAGCAUUCCACUGACACAAAUUUUCCUAUACCUGCUUCCUCUCCUUCUUCCACUACAUCUGAUCCAGCCCCUAAUUCUACUAUUCCUGAUUUUACUAAUACUGAUCCAGCUCCCCUUCCUUCCUUCAAUCAUGAUAUCUCUCCUCAUGUUUUACCUUCUUCCCAACCUCUUCUUGCUCCUAGAAAAUCCACUAGACAGCAUAAUCCUCCAUCCUAUCUUAAGGAUUAUGUCUGCCAAC
rnacentral:lncRNA from 1 species